rnacentral:misc_RNA from 1 species
AAGUCGUAACAAGGUUUCCGUAGGUGAACCUGCGGAAGGAUCAUUAACACUAUUUUUUUCAGAAAAAUAGGAAAAGCGUUUAAUCACGCAUUCUUAUUUUUUCAAUCCAAACUUACCCAAACUUUUAUUUGAAAGUGCUGGUUGAUUUUCGUAAGAAAAUCUCCUAUUUUAUUUUUAUUUUUCACAAAAACCCCAAAUCUUUCUUUGCUAAUGCAAAUGACAAUUACAAACACUAAAAAAAUAACUACUUUAAUGUAACCAAACAACUCUUAGCAACGGAUAUCUUGGCUCUC